ACCUGCGGCUGCGGGGCGGCCUCGUGCGGAGGGAUCUGGGUGAAGGCGGCGCGUGAUUGGCCGCUUUGUGUUCGCGACGCUCAUCCGUGAUGCUUCCGCGUGUCGGAGAACCAGGUGGCACCCCAGGAGAGAAGCGGUGGGCGGCGAGCCGCGGGCCUUUACUCUUAGCAGAAGCUCACCUAGGUAAGGCCAGAAUGUGGCCACGUAGCUGAGCUCCAGAUAAUCCAGAGGGGAUAUAUGAUGUUUCCACUCCACAACAACCUUUCUCACUUUUUGCCUUCUGCCAACUGGAUGGAGAGGAAGCCAAGGACCUAGAGGAGGAUGAAGCCAUGAAGUGGAAGCCAAGGAACCUCUGCACGAGACUGUGAUGAGAAUGUAAACCGUGGAGAAGCAGGAAUAUAUCUGUCAAUGCAGCUAGUGUUACUCUUCUAAAGGAAUUUCAAAAAAUGUUUGAAGACAACUCAGGAAGUCUUUAAGAUCCAAAGCUGCAGCUGUGCAUAGCACUUUCUAACUGUAAAGGUCACGCUUGGGCUGACUGGGGGUGGGUGAUCCUCUGGCAAGAAGGGGAAUUUAGGUUCUCUCCUAAAAUCCCCACUGAAAUGACUCAUAGAAUAUAUAGACUGGGGGGGAAAAGUCCACAUUCAAGCUGGAAAUGUUGGGUACUGUUCAAAUACCAAAAAUAUGGGAGAUUUUGAGAUUCUACCAUAGCACUGAUGUGUGACUAUUACACAAUGAAUAACAGUGACUCAUGGAUGAGAUCAUGAAGUGAUAUUCCUUUAUUGCCCAAUAGGUCAUUAAAUUUGCUUCGUGGGCUUGUUUUUUAUUCGUCCCUGGAGCAAAUGCUGGUCCCAUGACUUUUUUUUUCUUUUUGAAACAGGGUCUUACUCUGUCACCAGGCUGGAGUGCAGUGGCAUGAUCAUGGCUCACUGCAGCCUCAAACUCCUGGGCUCAGGUGAUCCUCCUGCCUCAGCCUCCCAAGUAGCUGGAACUAUAGGCAUGUGCUAUCACGCGCGGCUUGGUUCCAUGACCUUUUAAAAAAUAUGUUCUUUAGUAAUAAAAAGUCUUAUAAUUACAUUAAGUCAAAACACAGGCUCAAUUCACUAUCCAAAAUGCUCAUUCCCAUGUGAGAACCAAAACUCCAAAAGUGAUUUAAAGUCAAGACUUCUUCAGCACAGGCCUCUAGUAGACCAGCAGCCUACUGAGGGAGAAAGAUGUUGACAGCUGGCAGGUGUCUUCUCUAGCGUCUUGCCUUCUUCUGCUGCUCCUGAUCUUUGAGCAUGCUAACCAUGGUUUCUCACAUCUCCAGGGAUUGGCCUGGAGAGGAAGCAGGUACAGAAUUGCAAGUUUUUUCUGACUUCAGAUGUGCAAAGCUGACUACGUCUGUGUGUGUGUCUACCUCUCUUGCCCAGACUGGAGUAAGGCGGCACAAUCAUAGCUCAUUGCAGCCUCAAAGUCCUGGGCUCAAGUGAUCCUUCUGCCCUCAGC